GUUCUUCACUAGGCCACCAAAUAUGUCCAGCCUUUAGCAGGAAGACGGAACAAAAUAUCCAAUACAGAGGUUAAUUUCAUCCACUUCUGACAAGACUUUCCUGUUCAGAAAAGAAGGAUUAAUAAACCACAGUCACUCACUGUCUAACCACUAGUCUGAUAGAGAAAAGGCUGGGUCCCACUGGAAUCUGAGUUCAAAAUGUGUAGAAGAUGACAGAGUGUACAUGAGUUUCUCAGCUUAUAGUCAUGAAGCAAACACAGACCUGGACAGUGGGAUAGUUUAUUUUCGGUGAGGAGAAACUGACAAAAGCUGCUCUACCGCUCUAUUGUUCCAGAGUCUAGAUCCCUCAACAGUCCAACCAGCAUCCUUGCUUGACAGAGAUGGGUGAGCAGUCACUCCUUGGCUGCAUUUCUAGGCUGGAUUGAGGCAGCAGGGAGAUGACUGUGCAGUGGGGAUACAGCCGGUGCUGGUUCUCGGGUACUUCCUGCCCAGCAGUGGGAGGAAGAUGAAAGUUUCCAUACGAGGGAUUACUUCCAUGGCAACUUACAUAUAGACAAGUUCCUAUUAUGGAGAGAUACAAUACCGAUAAAGUAACCUUCAAGGAAACAAUAGUAAAUUCUUCACUGGUUUUAUUGUUGUUGCUGAAGAUGAAUGAAUAGGCCCAGCAUAGGCAUCUGAAUGCAUAUCAGAG